AAGGGAUUCACCCAAGUGGAGGGCCUUCAAGUCACCUCCUAGCUCCUUGGAUAUUGCUUGUGAUUUUCUUCUCCUUUUGUGCUCCUUUGGUCCUUGAAGAUGUAAGGAAAGGAUCUCCAAAAACACCAAAGAUUUGGUGUCUCUAAGUCUCCACACCAAGGGUUAAGUGUGAAGAUGAAAUGGAUGACUUAGAGAAGAAAAGAUUGCUAGAUUAAUCUCUCUAAGUGGCCGGCCUCUUUAGAGAAAAUGAGAGAAAGUGUUUCACCUCAUUUCACCAAGAAAAACCCUUAUGAGAAAUAAAGCUAUAAAGUUGAUUUUAUACUUCAUUUCAAGUGAGUAGCAAACUUGUAAUUAAUCCAAGUUUGCUACCCUCACCCUUAUGGCCGGCCUUACCUUUGUUAUUGGGCUAAUUGCCCUUUUUUUUUUAGUUGUCAUACAACUUAAACAUAAUGGGCCUUGUGGACCAAAA
rnacentral:lncRNA from 1 species